CUUCAAUUCGGAGUUCUACAGGAUCGUGUUGUUCGACCAGAGAGGCACUGGAAGAGCACUCCCCAUGCUUGUCUAUAGGAGAACACCACCUGGGACUUGGUGGCUGACAUUGAGAAGGUACAGCGGCGCUGCUGGUUCCUUGAGGCCAGGUCGAGUUGAGGUAGGGGAUAGGAAGGUUCAGCCGCUCGGGU